rnacentral:rRNA from 1 species
UCUCUCUUGAGUGGAUCCUGAGUACGACGGAGCACGUGAAAUUCCGUCGGAAUCUGGGAGGACCAUCUCCUAAGGCUAAAUACUCUCUAGUGACCGAUAGUGAACCAGUACCGUGAGGGAAAGGUGAAAAGUACCCCGGAAGGGGAGUGAAAGAGAACUUGAAACCGUGUGCUUACAAGUAGUCAGAGCCCGUUAAUGGGUGAUGGCGUGCCUUUUGUAGAAUGAACCGGCGAGUUACGAUCUGAUGCAAGGUUAAGCAGCAAAUGUGGAGCCGCAGCGAAAGCGAGUCUGAAUAGGGCGUUGAGUAUUUGGUCGUAGACCCGAAACCAGGUGAUCUACCCUUGGUCAGGUUGAAGUUCAGGUAACACUGAAUGGAGGACCGAACCGACUUACGUUGAAAAGUGAGCGGAUGAACUGAGGGUAGCGGAGAAAUUCCAAUCGAACCUGGAGAUAGCUGGUUCUCUCCGAAAUAGCUUUAGGGCUAGCCUCAAGUGAUGAUUAUUGGAGGUAGAGCACUGUUUGGACGAGGGGCCCCUCUCGGGUUACCGAAUUCAGACAAACUCCGAAUGCCAAUUAAUUUAACUUGGGAGUCAGAACAUGGGUGAUAAGGUCCGUGUUCGAAAGGGAAACAGCCCAGACCACCAGCUAAGGUCCCAAAAUAUAUGUUAAGUGGAAAAGGAUGUGGCGUUGCCCAGACAACUAGGAUGUUGGCUUAGAAGCAGCCAUCAUUUAAAGAGUGCGUAAUAGCUCACUAGUCGAGUGACACUGCGCCGAAAAUGUACCGGGGCUAAACAUAUUACCGAAGCUGUGGAUUGUCCUUUGGACAAUGGUAGGAGAGCGUUCUAAGGGCGUCGAAGCAUGAUCGCAAGGACAUGUGGAGCGCUUAGAAGUGAGAAUGCCGGUGUGAGUAGCGAAAGACGGGUGAGAAUCCCGUCCACCGAUUGACUAAGGUUUCCAGAGGAAGGCUCGUCCGCUCUGGGUUAGUCGGGUCCUAAGCUGAGGCCGACAGGCGUAGGCGAUGGAUAACAGGUUGAUAUUCCUGUACCACCUA